GUGAUAUGCCACACCACACACACAAAUACACAGACCUAUAAAAACACCUCAUCAGUUGUGCCUGCAUGUGUUCCGGCACUUACCAAUAAAUAACCAAACACGAAUCAACUCAUAGAUUUUGACUCUUAUCAGUGAGCCAGACCACCGGUGGAAAUGUCUGUGAAGAUCCUCUCCAUCACUCUCCUCCUGGUCUCAAUGUGUGUGUGCUGCCACUCCUCUGAAGGUACUCAUGGUCGUCAUCCUGGACCGGUACCACCAUGCUGCACUGCAGUCACCACAGGCAAUAUGACUGCUGACGUGGUAGGGCAAAUAUAUCAUGAACUGGCUGCAAGAGGAGACUGUGUGAAGGCUAUAAUUUUUUACACAAAAGAUAGACAACAACUUUGUGCUGAUCCAGACGCUCAGUGGGUCAAAGAUCUCACUGCCAAAAUGAAGAAGGUGUGAAGCCUGUCUGCUGCAUCAGUAUUUCCAGUAUUUCCAUCACCUUUAAAGGCUUAUUCAAACCAGAGCGCUUUCUCAGCCUGUCUUGAAACUUUUUUUUUUUUGCAUUUGUAGAUUAAUUUUUACUCUUACCUGUGGCAGAAACCUGUAUUUUAUUUGUCCUGUUGACUUCAUUGUUUUUUAAUUGAUCACUGGAGUUCAGGUUUUAUUUGUCUUUUUUUGCUUAUUUGUG
ensembl:lncRNA